AUUGAACGCUGGCGGCAUGCCUUACACAUGCAAGUCGAACGGUAGAGGGGGCAACCCCCUCGAGAGUGGCGAACGGGUGAGUAAUAUAUCGGAACGUGCCCAGUCGUGGGGGAUAACGUAGCGAAAGUUACGCUAAUACCGCAUACGAUCUACGGAUGAAAGCGGGGGACUCGCAAGAGCCUCGCGCGAUUGGAGCGGCCGAUAUCAGAUUAGGUAGUUGGUGGGGUAAAGGCUCACCAAGCCAACGAUCUGUAGCUGGUCUGAGAGGACGACCAGCCACACUGGAACUGAGACACGGUCCCAGACUCCUACGGGAGGCAGCAGUGGGGAAUUUUGGACAAUGGGGGGCAACCCUGAUCCAGCCAUGCCGCGUGAGUGAAGAAGG
rnacentral:rRNA from 1 species